ensembl:lncRNA
UAAAAGACAGACUGCAUAUAUUUGACAUAAAUCACAUAAAAACUUGAAAGCAUACAGUGAACUUACACAGCUUGUGAUCCUUUUCCUGAGCACUCAUUACUCUCUAAAUAAUGAGUAACUCUAGGGAGAGGGAGCUUCUUUUAUACAGAGCUCUUGAUAUCCUUUGGGAAAUUAAUCAUCAGAAUCAGCUGGGGGCCAUUUGUAAGCGAGUCAGGUUCAGACUUUGCCUCAGCGUAUGGGGGUACUGUUGGCUUUUGGUGUUCCUGCCUGCUCUGUUCAAGUGCUGUGGGAGUGCACCUAGAUAACAAGAAGCUUGAUGUCACCAAGGGAAUGAAUGGAAAGGUGUUAUGGUAAAAUGGAGGAGAAAUAUUGAACCGGCUUCGUGUGGCAAAGAAAAUAGGAGGAGGAGGACAGCAGAUGUGAGCAUCUCUGAACCAGGAAGUUCUCAAGGCGCAUUUCCAUCUUGAAGAUGUGCCAGGACAGAUAAGAGCACACGACACAACAAGAAAACUUAUUGGAGAGGCAAGAUUGCUUGUUUUUAAUCCCGUGAUAAAACAAAGGUUGCCGUUGCAUUUUGCAUCUGCAGAUCUAGUCCCCAGUACCUUCGUUAGCCCCAGUUUCGAGGUCUGAGUUGCGACGCUUUGUAUUUUCGAUCGGACGCCAAUUUAUUUUUGACCCGUUCUUACUCAUUAUAGCCGAUAGAUGGCAGCAAAUGACCACAGAUCUUCCGUUCCUAUCGUAGCCUGCUCCUCCUCGAUAGCUUUAUGUGGAAUUUUCCUAUUUGAAACCGAAACGGUGCUGAUUCCGCAGUAGCAGAACGCAGUACGAGGCAGCAGACCCGAUUUAACAUGUUAGAGCGUUAAGGCCAGUGAUGGAACUGUCUGUUGCGUUCCUGUUUCCAGCGAUGCCGGUGUGACCCGUUGUUCUGUGCCGAGCUGCACGCUUGUUUCUGCAGCUACCUGAGACAUCUUGGAAAAGCACUUUCUUGAGCGCUGAUCUACUUGCAAUUUCCCUGUAGUCUUUACACCAAAACACGUAAACAACUCAGGUUGUGGUGCUCUACUCUGGGGGAGUGGGGGGGGGGGGGUGCUGCCUAUAGCGGGAGAGCCAUGAGAACAACGAUUUGAUUUCUAUGGCAGUCACUCAACCACCUCUCGGCAAGAGGUCGCCAAGUUUCCCUCAGCUCGCACACAUCAGAUGCGUGCCGCGUCUCAGCGGUCGGUGUAGACCCCACUGUGAAAGCC